UACAGAGGAGCCAAGCGUUGUCCGGAUUGACUGGGCGUAAAGCGCACGCAGGCGGUUGCGCGCGUGGGGUGUGAAAUCUGGCCGCUUAACGGCCAGGCGCCAUCCCAUACGGCGCGACUGGAGGGCUGCAGAGGUCGAUGGAAUUGCCGGUGUAGUGGUGAAAUGCGUAGAGAUCGGCAGGAACACCCAGGGGGAAACCAGUCGACUGGGCAGCGCCCUGACGCUGAGGUGCGAGAGCGUGGGGAGCGAACCGG
rnacentral:rRNA from 1 species